rnacentral:tRNA from 1 species
GGAGUUGUGGCUCAGUGGUAGAGUGCCCACCUGGCAUGUGUGAGGCACUGGGUCUGAUUCUCAGUGCCACCU